UACGGAGGGUGCGAGCGUUGUCCGGAAUCACUGGGCGUAAAGGGCGCGUAGGUGGCGCGACAAGUCAACGGUGAAAGCCCGGGGCUCAACCCCGGGUCGGCCGUCGAUACUGUCGGGCUUGAGCACUGUAGAGGCAGGUGGAAUUCCGGGUGUAGCGGUGGAAUGCGUAGAGAUCCGGAAGAACACCGGUGGCGAAGGCGGCCUGCUGGGCAGUAGCUGACACUGAGGCGCGACAGCGUGGGGAGCAAACAGG
rnacentral:rRNA from 2 species